rnacentral:rRNA from 1 species
CACGUAGGGCGCGAGCGUUGUCCGGAAUUAUUGGGCGUAAAGAGCUCGUAGGCGGCCUGUUGCGUCCGCUGUGAAAGCCCGGGGCUUAACCCCGGGUCGGCAGUGGAUACGGGCAGGCUAGAGGUAGGUAGGGGAGAAUGGAAUUCCCGGUGUAGCGGUGAAAUGCGCAGAUAUCGGGAGGAACACCGGUGGCGAAGGCGGUUCUCUGGGCCUUACCUGACGCUGAGGCGCGAAAGCCAGGGGAGCAAACGGG